rnacentral:rRNA from 1 species
UACGUAGGGGGCAAGCGUUGUCCGGAUUUAUUGGGCGUAAAGAGCGUGUAGGCGGCCAAGCAGGUCCGCUGUGAAAACUCGAGGCUCAACCUCGAGACGUCGGUGGAAACCGUUUGGCUAGAGUCCGGAAGAGGAGAGUGGAAUUCCCGGUGUAGCGGUGAAAUGCGCAGAUAUCGGGAAGAACACCCGUGGCGAAGGCGGCUCUCUGGGACAGUACUGACGCUGAGACGCGAAAGCGUGGGGAGCGAACAGG